rnacentral:rRNA from 1 species
GAUGAACGCUGGCGGCGUGCCUAAUACAUGCAAGUCGAGCGAAGCGGGGACGGGUGAGUAACACGUGGAUAACCUCCUAUAAGACUGGGAUAACUUCGGGAAACCGGUGCUAAUACGGCUACUUAUACCUGGAUCCGCGCUGCAUUAGCUAGUUGGUAAGGUAACGGCUUACCCAGGCAACGAUGCAUCGCCGACCUGAGAGGGUGAUCAGCCACACUGGAACUGAGACACGGUCCAGACUCCUACGGGAGGCAGCAGUAGGGAAUCUUCCGCAAUGGGCGAAAGCCUGACGGAGCAACGCCGCGUGAGUGAUGAAGGUCUUCGGAUCGUAAAACGCUGUUAGUGGGGAAGCGGUACCUAAUCAGAAAGCCACGGCUAACUACGUGCCAGCAGCCGCGGUAAUAC